AACAAGGAUUCCCCUAGUAACUGCGAGUGAAGCGGGAAAAGCUCAAAUUUAAAAUCUGGCGGUCUCUGGCCGUCCGAGUUGUAAUCUAGAGAAGUAAUGCCCGUGCUGGACCGUGUAUAAGUCUCCUGGGAUGGGGCGUCAUAGAGGGUGAGAAUCCCGUCUUCGACACGGACUACCAGUGCAUUGUGGUAUGCUCUCAAAGAGUCGAGUUGUUUGGGAAUGCAGCUCAAAAUGGGUGGUAAAUUCCAUCUAAAGCUAAAUAUUGGCGAGAGACCGAUAGCGAACAAGUACCGUGAGGGAAAGAUGAAAAGAACUUUGGAAAGAGAGUUAAACAGUACGUGAAAUUGCUGAAAGGGAAACGCUUGAAGUCAGUCGCGUUGGCCAGGGAUCAGCCUUGCUUUUGCAUGGUGUACUUUCUGGUUGACGGGUCAACAUCAAUUUUGACCGCUGGAAAAGGGCCUGGGGAAUGUGGCAGCUUCGGCUGUGUUAUAGCCCCUAGUCACAUACGGCAGUUGGGAUUGAGGAACUCAGCAA
rnacentral:rRNA from 1 species